rnacentral:lncRNA from 1 species
AAUUAUAAGCAUUAGAGUAUAUUUUGAUUGAUUUGCGCAUUGUUUGACUUAUUUCAGAAUAUUUGGCUUUGAGUCGAGGUGGUAGAGAGUCAUUGGAGCCGGUUAUGGAACUUCAGAGGAGGUAAGUCUCCUUUCUAACUUUGUGAGGGAAAAAUUACCACGUAGGUGAUAUUCUUGUUGUAUGCUACAUGUUGUGGGAGUUGCGCACGUAUGAGGUGACGAGUGUCCGUGCGCAUGCUAGAAUUCCUGAGUAUGUCCGAGUAGACUAGGAUUCACACCAUGCUUUAUUUUAACUGGUUGAGUUAUUAUUGCCUGCUUAGUUACUUGAUUUCGCGUUACGACCUUAAACUAGGCUUGCUUAGAGUGAUAGACACGCUAUUGUAGAGGUUUGACGAGCUACUUGAUUAGCCGCAAAAUAAUUGUGCUUCCCUUACGAAUUUCUCCCGCGUUGUGCGUUUUCAUCAAGCUUCCUUAAAUUUCAUAUUCACAUGUAUAUUUAUGAGUGGGGUCAAGGACCCGUUAAAGUAUCAUAUUCUUAUGGGAUCGGGUCGUUCGCCUCGGCAGUAUCAUAUUCUUGUGGGAUCGGGUCGUUCGCCUCGGCAGUAUCAUAUUCUAAUGGGAACGAGCCAUUCGCCUCGGCAGUAUUAUAUUCUUAUGGGAUUGGGCCAUUCACCUUGGCAUUUCUAUGAAAUACUUUUAUGGGAUCAGGUCGUUCGCCUCGGCAACUUCAUGAAACAUUCUAAUGGGAUCAGGUCGUUCGCCUGCGUAAUAUUUGAGAAGAAGCCAGUGUAUCCGUAAGUUUUCCUGAUUUGAGUUGUGACGACCUAUUUGGUGGGGACCAUAUAUAUAUAUAUAUAUAUAUAUAUAUAUAUACAUACACACACACACACACACACAUACACACACACACUCUCUCUCUGGGGUAGGAGGUAAAUGAUAAUUGAGAUCUUGUGUUUACUGUUUAGAGGAGGAUCGUACCGUUUAAUUGAAUUUUCCUGAUUUGUUUACAAUAUUUAUUUAUCAUGCCUCAUACUUGUUUACUUUCUACUAUACUUAAUUUAUCGAACCACUAGUAAGUGUCGAUGUCGACCCCUCGUCACUACUUUUCUGGGGUUAGGCAAGAUACUUACUGGGUACGCGUUGAUUUACGUACUCAUGCUAUACUUCUACACUUAUUGUACAGGUAUAUAUUUCUGGUGGUUUUUUGGGCGCAAAUGCAUAGCUAUUACGGGGACUUUACGGUGAGUUGCAUUCCAUGUUACGACCCGCAACAUACAUAGUUUCCAUCAUUAUUUAUCCUGUC